AUUACUACAUAAAGCCCAGUGCUCUGGGUGGAGGCAGAGAUGGAGGUGGAUUGUGGAUCUGCACACUGCUGGAUGCAGACAUGAUCCUAGUGCUUAACCAACCACCAGGAGACUAAAGCCGGGUAUAAACCCUUUUACCCCAAGAAUGUUCCAAUGUCAUUUCUCUGUCUCACUAAAUCCAUAGUGAGACAGCGCAGGGCUGAAACCCUCAGGUGAGACAGGGAUUAUUGUAGAGUGAUUAUAAGCAGAGGAAUUCAACAAACUAAUAGUGGAAUCCUGCUGCACCCUCAGGCGGUAAGUUUUAGCAGGAUACCUGACCACUGUGAGUCUCGGCUCUUCAUCUCUGCCACCUGCCCAUCACAGAUUGAUGCAAAGCCAAAACUAGGUGACAGUCUAUAUAAAUAGCUUACCAUAGGGCUAGCACCACAGCCAGCCCUCAGCACAUAUUUGCUGUUGCUGUUAACAGUAUUAGCAUUAUUAGAAAAAGAAGAAAUAUCUGCCACCUGCCAUUUCCUCCCAGGGUCUUGGCUUUUCCUCUCUGGGCUCAGCUGCCUCUUGCCCAUUAUAGUCCUGCAGCUGCUUGGAGUUAGCAUUGGCGCCUGUGGGGUUUCUCUGCUAUAAACCAGUCAUUGCACAAUUGGUUUAAAAAGUCACCAUGGAAUUCUUAGUUUGUAGUUUCUUUCUCCAUCCCAUUUGAGGAAUAUGUAUGCUUGUGCCAUUCAAAUAAAGCACCUGGAAAGCCCAAAUGAACCUAAAUUUUUGUACCUUUUUUUUUUUUUCAUCAUAAAACCAAGCACCGGCAUCUUCAGGCUCACCAAUGCUGGCAUGCUCGAGGUUUCUGCUUGUAAAAAGAAGGGCUUUCAUCCGCACACCAGGGACCCCAGGCUGUUCAGCAUAUGCAAGCAUGUGUUGGUAAAAGACAUAAAAAUAAUCAUACUGGAUCUGAGGUGAUAUGUUCCGAAGAUGAGCACCUUCCACACCAGGCUCCUACCCAUGGACAUGUGGUUGCCAGGUUUUCUUAAGAUGUUUCCAGAAGUGACUGGUAUUUUAUAUUUAUACAUUUUAGAUCAGGAAGUUUGAUAUUUAUUGCUCUUGCACAUUUGGAAGUUUUAUUUUUGGGUUGCUCUGUCUCAAGAGAUGUCACCAUGGUGUUAAAUCAAUACUGUGAAUGUUACCCAAAUACUAUGACCAGAUAAUAAAUUGUGCUGCAAAUAACAUGUCCAGUGUUUGUAAGAGGCCCGCAUACAUUUUCAGAGCUUUAGGUGUUUCACUGUAUUUCUUUUCUCUCAUUCUUGUAAACUAUAAUUCCAAGUAAGAAAUUCUGAGUUCCAGGUGGUCUCCAAGACAGGCCAUCUGUUUCUGCAAACUUCCCUGGGGUAGACGCAUCCUUAGAGGAGUGGGCAUUCUUGGCAUUUUCAUUUCCUCACAAGGCAAAGCAAGAGCUCAGGUUUGCGGUAAAGUGUGAAGAGGUCUGAACCGGGAAGUGGCUUCUUUAUUGCCAAAUACACAUCCAGUUAACCAGACUUCCCGGGGGGACUUGUCACAGAGUGAAGGAUCCCUGGAGGCAGCAAGCCAGUGAUGUGCCCUUGCCCGGCAGAAUGAGGUCCGGAAGCUGUGUGUCUCCAAGAACUAUGAGCAGCGUGGCUGCGCCAGUGAGGGAUGAACAGGCUGGAGGAAGAGCCCAGGGCGGCUCACGCGAGCAUAUGUGCCGCGUGGGCGAGGCUGUGCCACCAGCGUGCCUUGGAUGAGCUGCUUUCCAAUGAGCUCGCUGCCAAGCAGCCGGCAGCCAGGCGCCCUCUUUUGAAUAUGAAUCAGUUCCAGAGCCCCAUGUGCCACUUCCCUGUGUCCUAAGUGCUCGUCUGUUUGUCCUCGGUGCCCGGCAGCCAGUGUGUACUUGCUAUGGUCUGAAUAGUGCCCCCCAGUCACACGCUGAAGUCCCGACCCCCCAGCACCUCAGAAUGUGACUGUGUGUGGAGACAGAGCCUUUAAAGAGGGAACAACAUCAACAUGCGGUCAUGUGUGUGGGCUGUAACCCCACACGGCUGGUGUCCUCGGAGGGAAAGAUUACAGCACAGACACAUGGGAGGAGGACCGCACGAAGACGCAGGGAGAAGAUGGCCAUUUCCAAGCUCUCUAAGAAACCAAACCUGCCAACACCUUGAUGUCUGACUUCUGGCCUCCAGAACUGGUAGAAAAUAAAUGUCUGUUGUUUAAGCCACUCAGUCUGUGGUGUUUUGUUAUGACAGCCCAAGCAG